UAGGGAAUUUUCGUCAAUGGGGGGAACCCUGAACGAGCAAUGCCGCGUGAGCGAAGAAGGUCUUCGGAUCGUAAAGCUCUGUUGUAAGAGAAAAACGAGCGCCAUAGGGAAUGAUGGAGCAGUGAUGGUAUCUUACCAGAAAGCCACGGCUAACUACGUGCCAGCAGCCGCGGUAAUACGUAGGUGGCGAGCGUUAUCCGGAAUCAUUGGGCGUAAAGGGUGCGUAGGUGGCACGAUAAGUCUGUAGUAAAAGGCAGCGGCUCAACCGCUGUUGGCUAUGGAAACUGUCGAGCUGGAGUGCAGAAGAGGGCGAUGGAAUUCCAUGUGUAGCGGUAAAAUGCGUAGAUAUAUGGAGGAACACCAGUGGCGAAGGCGGCCGCCUGGUCUGCAACUGACACUGAAGCACGAAAGCGUGGGGAGCAAAUA
rnacentral:rRNA from 1 species